UGAUUCUGUGUUGUAACCCCUAUGCUCUGUUUUUAUAGCCGAGAGAUUGAUUCCACUGUGCUCUGCUUUUUCCUUUAUUAUCAACUUCUUCCAACGGAUUCAGAGUUUCAACAUACAUACUCUGCUGUUUUCUGUCACCAUCAUACUCUCUCUUCCACCGUGUAACCACCAUGAGCUGUGUCUAUGUGAUGAAAUUUAC